rnacentral:lncRNA from 1 species
UAACAAAAAAGAAUCAUAAAGCAAACUUGAAUGGUGGUUAGUUAAAAUUUCGCUCUCUUUUUCUUUUUCUCGCUCACUAUCUUCAUUUUCUCUCGUUUCUUUUUCAACAUCUUUUUCUAUAUCAAUUUUUUUCUCAAUCUCAAUUUCUUUUUCAAUUUUCUUUUCUUCAUGUUCUUUUUCUCUCACUUUUUCGAUUUCUUUUUCUUUUGCAAUUUCUUUUUCUUUUUUGUUUUCUUUUUGUUUUCUUUCAAUUUCUUUUUCAAUCUCUUUCUCCUUUUCUCUCUCAAUGGAUUGCUUCAUUUUGAAUUGGCCUUCUUGCACUUGUUCCGGUGUGAGCGGCGCUAAAGUGAUUUUCCUUCCUUGAUGCUUGAAGGAAUACCUAUUGGUACGUUCAUCG